rnacentral:lncRNA from 1 species
AAUUUUAUAGAAGCUCUAUCAAAUCACACUCUAGGUUUGCUUUUAACUCUUGAUCAAUGCUCCAGGACACAAAUACAGUUUUUAGAUGUUUUAAUCACUAUAGCUAACUCUGCCUUUAACUUACAAGUAUAAGAAAAGAGUUUCUCAACAACUUUUAUUCCAGCAUAGUCUUCUGAUUCACAGUCUAUAAGAAAGCAUCAGUCAAAUUUCUCUUAAAAGGAACCAUUAUACAUUGCACCACUACUGCAGCAAAAGAUCAUGAAUAUAAUGCCAUUCUUGUGCAAACUCAAGCCUGGGAUACUUGCCAAACUUUAUAAAUAGAAUUUAUAGAGGUCUCAUAUCCAAACAAUGUCCUGAUUCCUGAUGUUUAUAGCAACAAUCUUACUGAUUCUACAUUCAAUCCCAAGCCAUUCCUUUAUAAAACCAGUAUCAUACCCCUUCCUUCCUUCAAUUCUAUAAAAUCAAAAAAAGCAGGUUAAAAAAAGAAGCAGGUAUAUCACUUCUUUUUAGCAGAGAAAAGACAGCGUAUGAUAUCUUACAUAAUGAUAAGUCUUAAACCUUUACAUUUUUCCUGUUCAAGAGUCUACUUUAUUCUGACAUAUAAUGAAAAUCUUGACUAGAACAGAGAUACAUAUUGGAAGUGCAAUGAGAAACUUAGACACAUGAAUUAAAAAACACAAAAGAUAGAUAGUUUCAUUAGGAGAAUGUUUACUGCUCUCUCAAGAUUUUAUGAAACCUCUCUUUGUAUUGAUUGGACUCAGGCUAAGGUCAUUGCCAACAUUAAAUCCCUGGUUGAAUUUAAAAUGGCAGAAGCACUUCAGAGAGCCAUUUAUACUUCUAUCCACUAUAUUGUUAACAAUAAUACUCUUGAGAUAAUACUGCCACCGUGGCUUAGUGUUAUAUUCACUUCCAGACAAUAGCUGUAAUGUUACAUGUUAGACUGCAAUGUGGUCUCAGUAUCAAUGAACUACAUUUUAUUAUUUGUAUUGUCUUUAUUUUUAUUAUUUCUGGUUUUUCUUUUUUAUACACAUUUUAUAUCUAUUUAUUUUCUUUUUACAAUAUAUUUAGCAUCAUAUCAUAUAUUGUAGUUAGCUGCCAUCAUGGUAAUGACCUAGCAUUCUAUGAAAACAUUUAUGUUUAAAACUGUUCUAUUUUAUAAAAAUCUGACAAGAACUUAAUAAA